rnacentral:rRNA from 1 species
AGAGUUUGAUCAUGGCUCAGGAUGAACGCUAGCGGCAGGCUUAACACAUGCAAGUCGAGGGGCAUCACGAGUAGCAAUACUUGGUGGCGACCGGCGCAAGGGUGCGUAACGCGUGAGCAACAUGCCCGUAUCAGGGGGAUAAUCCAGGGAAACUUGGUCUAAUACCCCAUAGCAAUUGAAGGAGGCAUCUUCUUUGAUUUAAAGCUUUGGUGGAUACGGAUUGGCUCGCGUGACAUUAGCUAGAUGGUAAGGUAACGGCUUACCAUGGCUACGAUGUCUAGGGGUUCUGAGAGGAAGGUCCCCCACACUGGAACUGAGACACGGUCCAGACUCCUACGGGAGGCAGCAGUGAGGAAUAUUGGACAAUGGAUGGAAAUCUGAUCCAGCCAUGCCGCGUGCAGGAAGACGGCCCUAUGGGUUGUAAACUGCUUUUAUAUGGGAGCAAUAAGACCUACGUGUAGGUCGAUGAGAGUACCAUAUGAAUAAGCACCGGCUAACUCCGUGCCAGCAGCCGCGGUAAUACGGAGGGUGCAAGCGUUAUCCGGAUUUAUUGGGUUUAAAGGGUGCGUAGGCGGUUUGAUAAGUCAGCGGUGAAAUAUUUCAGCUUAACUGGAAGGGUGCCGUUGAUACUGUCGAGCUUGAAUUUAGUUGCUGUGGGUGGAAUGUGUGGUGUAGCGGUGAAAUGCAUAGAUAUCACACAGAAUAUCGAUUGCGAAGGCAGCUCACAAAGCUAAUAUUGACGCUGAUGCACGAAAGUGUGGGGAUCAAACAGGAUUAGAUACCCUGGUAGUCCACACUGUAAACGAUGAUAACUCGCUGUCGGCGAUACACAGUCGGUGGCCAAGCGAAAGCGGUAAGUUAUCCACCUGGGGAGUACGACCGCAAGGUUGAAACUCAAAGGAAUUGACGG